rnacentral:misc_RNA from 1 species
UUAUUUUGUUAUGGUUUGUUUUACAUUCAUUUAACAAGUGUUUGAAAAGUAAAGCCGCAGGUAAAAACCGCUCCAAAGAGCCAAAUUUACCCGCCAAAAAGUGCACAGAGUUGGAGAGUGGGGAUGGGCCUCUUCCGAAUGCCCAAAUUCACUAAUGAUCCUUCCGCAGGUUCACCUACGGAAA